GGUUUCUGGGAUAAGAGACAAUAUGUGACGGAGGAUUACUCACCAAACAGAAGUACACACAUCAUACACUAGUUAACAUGCCGUCAAGGCUAAGUCUAGCAGUACGGAUGUUUACGUUUCGGUUGGAACCAAAAUGUUCUAAUCGUUUCACUCUGAACAGAACCAUUAUUUUUGUUCUUGUUCCGUUCCACUGUUCCGACCAAAAAAUAAAGUUCUGAACCGGUUGAAACCCUAAAACACUAACGGUUUAUAUUGUUUCUUUGUUGUCACGUUUACCCCUGCUCCUCCCCUAACCCCAGUCCUGGGAUUCAUCAUUACGCACACCUGGCAUCCAUCAUUACGCACACCUGGCAUCCAUCAUUACGCGCAUCUGCAGAUCAUUAUGAUUCACACCAUUACCUUCCUCAUUACCUCCCCUUUAUCUGUCCCUCCCUUACGUUCAUUCCUCAGGUGGUUUUGUUCCUGUGUUCAUACUAUAUCGCCACUGUUACGCUGUCUCGUUUCAUGUUUGAUUAAACGUUUCACCUGCUUCUCGACUCACAGCGUCAUUGUUACAGAAUACUGACUCACAAAACUAUGGAAGCAGCAGGAAUAUCAAAUGUCUCUGACGGUCGACGAACAAGCUCAUCUUCUACGUCAACACCAUGACCAGCUGGCACAACUGGGGACGGCUAUGAAGAAGUACUUCGCAGUUUGCAACGUCUAGAACAACCCCCAGAGGCGUUGGCUUCGACUAGCGGAGGAUACUUUUUAACCAGUCGAGCCAGCACAACAACCCAUUCAGCAACCCGCUCAGGUUAGCGAGCGGGACCGGCUGCUGACCUGGGCACACACAGCUGUCGUCGCUUCACAUCCAGGUGUUUCACACUAUCCAGUCCAUCUCUGGGAAAUACUGGUGGCCCAUGAUAGCGCAGGACGUCACUCACUAUGUCAACUCCUGCUCCGUAUGUGCUCAAACCAAGUCUUCCCAGAAUGCUCCAGCAGGGAAGCUCCUGUCGCUUCCCAUGCCCGAGCAACCCUGGUCACAUCUAUCCAUUGACUUUAACCAAUCUCUCCUCUGAUGGUUUCAUCACCAUUUUGGUGGUGGUCAAUAGAUUUUCUAAAUCCGUUUUAAUCCCUCUUCCUGGUCUCCCCACUGCUCUCCAGGUCACUGAGGCACUAUUCCAGCAGGUCUUCUGGCAUUAUGGCCUUCCGGAGGACAUCGUCCCCGACCGUUGCCCCCAAUUCACAUCAUGAGUAUGGAGGGCCUUUCUGGAGAAGCUCGGGGUCAUGGUCAGCCUCAAUUCCGGGUACCGGCCUCAGUCCAACGGGCAGGUGGAAAGGGUGAACCAGGAGCUGGGGAGGUUCCUGAGGAGUCACUGUCAGGACUGGCAGGGUGAGUGGGCACGAUUCCUUCCAUGGGCAGAGUAUGCCCAGAACUAGAUACAUCACUCCUCCACUGGGUUGACCCCCUUCUAGUGUGUUCUGGUUUUUCAGCCAGCUCUGGCUCCGUGGACCCCGGGCCAGACCGACACUCCUGCGGUUGAUGAGUGGUUUGAUGCCGUCCACCGUCAAAAGGAACAGGCAGACCGCCACUGCAGUGAGACCCCAGUGUUCCACUCUGGGAUCACGUCUGGCUUCUACCAGGAACCUCCCACUCUGCCUGCCCUGCAAGAAACUGAGACCCCAGUUUGUGGGGACAUUCAAGCUUCUCCGGAGGGUCAACGAGACAUAGAGGGGAGUCCGGCGUAUGUUGUCAGAUCCCUACUGAACUACCGGCGUCGUGGGGGUCGGCUACAGUCACUGGUGGAUUGGGAGGGGUAUGGCCCAGAGGAGCGGUGUCGGGUUCCAGUGGAGGACAUUCUGGACAUCAUCUGUGACUUCCACCUUUGCCGCCCAGACCAACCUGGGGGGGGGGGUACUGUCAUGUCUACUGCUGUUUCUCCCGUUCGUCGCCGGAGUACUAACCAACGGUCCUGGGAUUCAUCAUUACGUACAGCUGCUGAUCAUUAUGAUUCACACCUGGACUCCAUUACCUCCCCUUUAUCUGUCCCUCGUUCAUUCCUCAGUCGGUAUUGUUCAUGCUAUGUUGCCACAUACACUGUCUCGUUUCAUGUUUAAUAAAACAAACGUUGCACCUGC